GACGAACGCUGGCGGCGUGCCUAACACAUGCAAGUCGAACGGAGAGAUACGAGAUCUUGCUCUUGUAAGUCUUAGUGGCACACGGGUGGGUAACGCGUAACCAACCUUCCCCACGGGUGGGGACAACAGACGGAAACGACUACUAAUACCCAAUAGACUCCGUUCUCGCAUGACACCGACAGGAAACGUCGCCUCUCGAAGAAGCUACCGCCGCUGGACGUGUUUGCGUUGGAUUGGUUUGUUGGUGGGGUAACGGCCUACCAAGCCGAUGAUCAAUCGCCGGUCGGAGAGGACGAACGGCCACACUGGGAGGGAGACACGGUACAGACGGCUUGGGGAGGCAGCAGGGGGGAAUCUUCAGCAAUGGACGAAAGUCUGACGGAGAAACGCCGAGGGAGGGAAGAAGGACUUCGGGUUGGAAAGCUCUGUUAUUCGGGAAGAAAGAGCUGUUUGUAAAUAAGGAACGGAAGUGACGGUACCGAAAGAGAAAGCCACGGCUAACUACGUG
rnacentral:rRNA from 1 species